GUAGCAAGACCAUCUCAUUCCCGCACUCCAAAGCAAAGGCGUGAUGGAGGAGGGGGCAUUUUGCUCCCAUCAAAAGCCGCAAAAACAAAGCAAAGCAAGGAAAGGAGAGGAAUGUUGCUAGCGCUUUGAUCGCUUCUUCCACGGACAAACAACAAGGUCUCGGCUUUUCCUCCUCUUUGCGGUUUUCCCCUCUUUGUUUAGUCAGGAUUGACGAGAGGAGACGAAACGCAACUUAAUGCCGAGGGAUCGAUCAGCCAGACAAAAGUGGAAGAAGAUACUUCAAGUCCUUCCUCUAUGUUGUUUUCUCCCCUAUACAUUUGAGGAAGAUCAUAGCCUACAACUCUAGGCCUAUGCUCUGGAAGGUUUUGUCACUUGCAAACGUUCUUUGGUGCUUGCUGAUACAUUCCCUGGGGUCUCAAAAGAAUUAAUGCUUUUUUGACACUGUGCGCUUUUAGUUACCCCCUAUUAUCACUGAUUUUACUGGAGUUGGUGAAUGGAAUGUAAUAUUAAUAAAGUUGGUGGAGAAAUGUUUAACAAUA